rnacentral:pre_miRNA from 1 species
AAAAGUGCUUACAGUGCAGGUAGCUUUUUGAGAUCUACUGCAAUGUAAGCACUUCUUAC